UACGUAGGGGGCAAGCGUUGUCCGGAAUCAUUGGGCGUAAAGAGCGCGUAGGCGGCCCUGUAAGUCCGCUGUGAAAGUCAAGGGCUCAACCCUUGGAUGCCGGUGGAUACUGCAGGGCUAGAGUCCGGAAGAGGCGAGUGGAAUUCCUGGUGUAGCGGUGAAAUGCGCAGAUAUCAGGAGGAACACCGAUGGCGAAGGCAGCUCGCUGGGACGGUACUGACGCUGAGGAGCGAAAGUGUGGGGAGCGAACAGG
rnacentral:rRNA from 1 species